UACGUAGGGGGCUAGCGUUGUCCGGAAUCAUUGGGCGUAAAGCGCGCGUAGGCGGCCCGGUAAGUCCGCUGUGAAAGUCAAAGGCUCAACCUUUGAAUGUCAGCGGAUACUGCCGGGCUAGAGUCCGGAAGAGGCGAGUGGAACUCCUGGUGUAGCGGUGGAAUGCGCAGAUAUCAGGAGGAACACCGGUGGCGAAGGCGGUUCUCUGGGCAUUACCUGACGCUGAGGAGCGAAAGUGUGGGGAGCGAACAGG
rnacentral:rRNA from 1 species